GUGUGGGUACGGUCCAGUGAGCGUGUGGGUACGGUCCAGUGAGCGUGUGGGUACCGGUCCAGUGAGCGUGUGGGUACGGUCCAGUGAGCGUGUGGGUACGGUCCAGUGAGCGUGUGGGUACCGGUCCAGUGAGCGUGUGGGUACCGGUCCAGUGAGCGUGUGGGUACCGGUCCAGUGAGCGUGUGGGUACCGCCCCAGUGAGCGUGUGGGUACCGGUCCAGUGAGCGUGUGGGUACCGGUCCAGUGAGCGUGUGGGUACCGUCCAAUGAGCGUGUGGGUACGGUCCAGUGAGCGUAGAGUAUUUGUCCUGUUUGCCUAGUCACUUUUACCCCAACCUACAUGUACAUAUUACCUCAACUACCUCGUACCCCUGCACAUUGACUCUGCCGUUACUCCUCGUACAUAGCCUCAUUAUUACGUUACUAUUUACAAAAAUGUUUGGUACUUUUUUUUAAAGUGUGCAUUGUUGGGAAAGGGCACAUAAGUUGGCAUUUCACGAUAAUGUCUACACUUUCGUCAGAUGUAACCAAUACAUUUGAUUUGAUUGGCUCAACUCCGGGAGGCCAGCCCCAGUAGAGCCAAUCAAACACUAACCUGCUUCACCUAAGGCAGGCCCGGGGCGUUUCAUUCGCUCACUGUUAAAUCCAUGACAGGAAGUGUGACAGUGCACACUUAAGAGAGCAGGGUGGAGAACUGGGAUGCAACCAUGAGCUAUCUAACAGGCUACAAACCACUUCCUGUCCUUUAAGUAAGGAAACAGUGGUUGGAG